rfam:Paenibacillus sp. oral taxon 786 str. D14 genomic scaffold supercont1.16, whole genome shotgun sequence.
GUACAAUUUGUGCCCGUAGGUCCUGGAGCAACGGUGAAGCAUGCCGUACCGCUUCGGGUUAAAAGGGAAGCCGGUGCAAAUCCGGCACGGUCCCGCCACUGUAAACAGGGACGAGCUCAUGAUGCCACUGUCGCCCGCGAAGGGAGAUGGGAAGGCGAGUUUUCGUCGAGACCUGGAAGUCAGGAGACCUGCCACGGGAAUUCAAGACGG